GCCCCCCCUAGUGCAGGGGGAGAGGGGCGCCCUUGCGUCAGAUCCACUCUGAACCCUGCACCCCACAACGAAGGGCGCGGAGACCCCACCAGAGACUCCUCCGCUCCAUGGAGACCACCCCCACCCACAACAAGGAUGACGUCGGAGAUGGCCCAGCCCCCCCCAUAGCAGAGGAGCGACAACGAAGGGUGCGGAGACCCCACCAGUGACUCCGCUCCAUGGAGACCACCCCCACCCACAACAAGGAUGACAUCAGAGCUGGCCCGGCCCCCCCAUAGCAGAGGAGCGACAACGAAGGGCGCGGAGACCCCACCAGUGACUCCGCUCCACAGACACGACCUCAACUCUCACCAAGGAUGACAUCAGAGAUGGCCCAGCCCCCCCAUAGCAGAGGAGCGGCAACGAAGGGCACGGAGACCCCACCAGUGACUCCGCUCCACAGACACGACCUGAGCUCACACCAAGGAUGACAUCAGAGCUGGCCCGGCCCCCCCACAUAGCGGAGGAGCAGCAACGAAGGGCGCGGAGACCCCACCAGUGACUCCGCUCCACAGGCACGACAUCAACUCACACCAAGGAUGACAUCAGAGCUGGCCCAGCCUCUCCACAGCAGACGAGUGGCAGCGAAGGGCGCGGAGACCCCACCAGUGACUCCACUCCAUGGAGACCAACCCAGCCCACACCAAGCCUAGGGUGGAGACCAUCAGGCCCCUCCAUCCCACAGGAGGACCGAGGCAGCCCGGCCGCCAUCCAGUGGAGGUUAGGAGUAGACCUGCUACCUCCUUAGUUGGGGGACAGAGAAGAACCCAGACCUCCCCAAUUUCAAGGCUGAGGACAGGAUGGCCUGGUCACCACCCACUAGGGGUGGAGGCUUGGAGUAAAUCCCAACCCCUCUGUAACUGGAGGAGGGAGAAGCAAAGGAUCCCUUAUGGUGAGCAAGGUGAAGAUGCCGAAGAAACCCCAGCUCCUCCAUAGCGGAGGAUGGAGAUGGUCUUGGCCCCCCUAAGUGAGGUGAGGACGAUGGAGGCCACCCUGUGCCCCCAAAUGGAAAGAUGAGACUUCAAAAGAUCAGACUGACAGAGCCCCCCCAGCACUCUUCCAGGGUGAGAAGGAUGGAGACUGCUGGAGCUCACCCCAAUUAAAGCAGGGAGAUGGGGGCUGGGGGAUUCUCAGGAUGUCACCCCCAUUAAAGGAGAGAGAUGUGGACCAUCUGACCCCCACAGUUAUGGGAGGAGGAUGGAGAGGAAGAGUGAUAAAAUGGAGAGUGACCUUCCCUGGGCCUCCUCAGGUCUGCCAUAGUUGGAGAGCCCCCAUAACUCACCAGCAUGAGAACAGACAGCCCAAACCUCCCAAACAUUUCCCAAAGCCUGGCUUUGAACUGAGCAUCUCGGGGACACCAGCCAAAUUCAGAUUACCAGAAAUCAAAAUCAACAGCCGAUAAGGGAAUUGGGCUCAUAAUUUGGCUCGUAAUUUGGCAUUUGGCUGCUGAUAAUUUGGCUGAGUUUGACUCUCCCAGCAAAGCACUUGUGAUGAAAUGCAAUCAAACUGCAACCCCAGGGCAGGGAGCACCAGACAGCCAGAGAUCACUUCCAUCCCUAUCACACUCAGGGAAGUGAUGGCCAGGCUUCAAGGCUCCAAUUGUUCUGUGGGUAAAGAGGCACAGAGACACCCUCCUGAGUCCUUCUAAAGUGUCCUCCAGCUUGAGAUGGACAGAGAUCUUGAGCAUCUCCUGGGAUCUAGAUGAAAUGAAAAUAAAAACUGACAGGAAUCUAACAAUGCAUAACAGGCUUGGACUGAUUAUUAAAGUGUGAAUGAGGUCAAAUCUAACGAGUGGUAUGAGUUUUGUUUAAUGGUAAAUGUCAGGUUGAGGGAAAGAAAAUGGGUGGGGGGCGGGAAGCAAGAGGGUGGCAGUGAGAUUAAAGCAGAAAAAUCCAGGGAUGAUUCUCAGCUCAGCUCUGAGCUUGGCUUUUUGGAUUCGUUCUUCUCCCUCAGCCUUGUGCUGCCAGAAUGGGCAAAAAGUCCUUCCUGGCACUGGCUGAGGAUUUAGGAAGGGACUGGAAGUGGGGUGGGGGUUAGAGUUGGAAUUGGGGUUGGGUAUAAGGUCAGGGUUAAACGUGGGCUUUGGUUUAGGGAUUUGGGUUUAGGAAGGGGCUGGGUUUGAUGUCAGCAUUAGCCCUAACCCAGCCCCAUUUCUGGUCCCAAGCCCACAGGGAGGCAGGGCUGAGGGUCCUAGCCCCAUUUCUGGGGUGCCCAGACCCAGGGGGAGGGAUCUCUGAGGGUCCCAUCCCCAUUUCUAGUGCUCCAAGGCCUAUGGAGGGGGGUCUUUCUGUUGGAAACAGGGAUCCUCGGGAGUUUUGGGUCUACCUGUUGCCUUCCCGCUUGUAAUAAAGGGUUGUUAUUUUUUCACUUUCA